UGUGGUUUCUCUUAUAUGAAAAACUCAGAUUACAAAUAAAGAACAAAGUGAAGACAGGCAGCAGGAAGUAGGGAGACAGCUCUUUCCCAGAGGGGAAGCGGACACGAGGUGGAGGGAGGGCGGGGAGGGAAAGGGGUGGGAAAAGGACUGAAGUCGCAUGACGUCCGCGCACCAGCUCCAGGCAGGGAAUGUGUCAUGCGCUGCAAUGCAGAUGAGUAGAAAACAGUAAGGGUGGCUGCCAGCUCUGUCCAAGUCCUAUAAAGCUCUAAUCUGCACACUUUGAGAGACUGAAAUUUUGCACUGUGUGAAAUUUGCACUGCACCUCCAGAGAGCUGUUGUGACAGGUGGGCUUUGGUGAGCUUGGCUGUGUGACCCGGAUGGUGAACCCACCUGCACGGUAUGCCGCUAGGAGCCCGCUGUCAUUUAACAAGUCACGAGUGCAGCCGGGAAUCAUCGCAGUAACUUUGUUUCUGCGGGCACUGGAGAGGAGAGAAGUACUGCAGAAAGAGCAGGUAGUGUAAGGGAGAUGCUUCGGCGCUGGGUGCUCAUUCAAAGAGGAAUGGGGGUGAUUUCUGCCCUCCUGGGGACGCUUAGCAAUGGACACUCCACAGACACCCUAAUGCUGUGGUCGUCAUAAGCACACUGGCAUCCAGGGCACCAAGACCAGACAGGGUGCUCAACCUCCGGAAAGUGCAGGCGAGACCGAGCGCACAGCUACGCAGGGCGGUGCCCAGGUGAGAAGCCCCGGCCCGCACUCGUGUCCUGGCUGGCUUGCUGGGGCUCAGGCUGCCAGCAUCCAUCCCAGAGACUUGGAUCCAGUUGUGUGAGUGGGGACGGAGAAUCUGCACUUCCGACAAGCUCCUGCAUGACGCCAGGCUCUCUCUCCAGCUCCCUUCUCCAUCUCCCAAGAAGAGGAGGACAGAACCCACCCAGGCAGCAGCUCCCGAGCAGGAUGCGGGAUACAGCCACAACACACCUCCGGCACGAGAACACACAGGACCUGGCUGCACCAAACUUCCGGCACAAGAACGCAUGGGACCUGGCACCCGAUGUUGAUCUUCUAGCAGGAGACCACGGGGGACCACAGGGAUCAGCUGUCCAGGAAGACGCACAGGGCGGCAGCAGGAGCCUGGGCCCACCACCCCCUGGCUCUCACCUCAGUCCAGUCUUUUCUGCAUACACAAUGCAUCGAAGCACCCUUUUCUCCCUGAGCUUUGCUUUUGUGCUUCUCCUUUUUUUCCUUCUUCUUAUUUCUUCC
rnacentral:lncRNA from 1 species